CAGGAAAGAGUUUGCCAGGAAACCAGACUGACACAGGCUGAGUGGAAAAGAGAAGUUGGAGCAGGACUCACAGACCGUCUUGGGACCAGUAAAGGAAGUGGGAGAAAGGACAUAAGCACACAUCCUUUUGUGAGCCUCCCUUUUCCCCAUAAACCGAAGGCGUAGCAGCGGCAGUGAAAAGCGGAGGGCGAAGAGGACAUUUCUGAGGGCUCUGUGCAGUCUCCAGCCCAAGGGAGCUCGCAGUGGGAUUUCUGCUUUAUGUCAGCUGCGCAGUGGGGCAGGAAGACCUCCGUCCUCCGAGGGCAGGGAUCCAGGGAGCAGACAGUUUCUGGGCUGAACAUCAGGGACACACCAAUGAACUGUGAGAGCCCCAGUGCUGACCAUCUGACCCCAGGAAAUGGACGGCCGGUGCCGUGUGCUAGAAGACAGCUUCCUGCCAGGAGGAGGAACUGGGCUUGGUCUCCCCGUGCGCCAGCCUGUGGAUGCGACUGUCUGGAGUUUCGUGGAUGGCUAUGGGAAUCAGACUCCUGUGGUCCUAUUCAAUUAAACUACCAAAUGAGAACCUACUAUGUCAGUGCUUUGAAGAAGCAGGUGAUGUUGGGGAAAGGCCAUGGGCUUUGAAGUUUGAGAGGCUUCGGUUUAAAUUCUAGGUCCACUACCUACUGACUAUAUGACUUAGGAAAGAUACUUACCCUCUUUGGGCUUCAGUUUCUUUAUCUGUGAAGUAAUAACAGUAAUGUCUACUUUACAGGGCUGAGAUAAAAAUUAAAUAAAGUUAUCGUGCAUAAAGGGUAUAGAAUAAUGCCUGCUGCCUUAUCAGUGCUCAGAAACCAAUCUUUCUUACUAGGUUUCAUGGGGAGAUGGAGGAGAGGUAAAUAUCAGACAUG